GACGAACGCUGGCGGCGUGCUUAACACAUGCAAGUCGAACGAUGAAGCCGGAGCUUGCUCUGGUGAAUUAGUGGCGAACGGGUGAGUAACACGUGAGUAACCUGCCCUUGACUCUGGGAUAACUGCGGGAAACUGUAGCUAAUACCGGAUACGACCCUCGGAGGCAUCUCCUGGGGGUGGAAAGAAUUUCGGUCAAGGAUGGACUCGCGGCCUAUCAGCUAGUUGGUGAGGUAAAGGCUCACCAAGGCGACGACGGGUAGCCGGCCUGAGAGGGUGACCGGCCACACAGGGACUGCGACACGGGCCAGACUCCUACGGGAGGCAGCAGUGGGGAAUAUUGCACAAUGGGCGCAAGCCUGAUGCAGCAACGCCGCGUGAGGGAUGACGGCCUUCGGGUUGUAAACCUCUUUUAGCAGGGAAGAAGCGAAAGUGACGGUACCUGCAGAAAAAGCACCGGCUAACUACGUGCCAGCCGCCGCCGUAA
rnacentral:rRNA from 1 species